GCCCCCAUCGUCUAGCGGCCCAGGACCCCGCCCUUUCACGGCGGUAGCGCCGGUUCGAAUCCGGUUGGGGGUACCA
rnacentral:tRNA from 1 species